CUGACUUCCUCCAAGUGAUACUACCUACCUUCUCUGUCAAGCCUUCUGUCCCUAAACCAUCACGUAUGAAAGGUGAAAUAGGAGCCUACUCUGAUUUCACAGUUUUAACCAUCAUCCUGUGACCUCAAAAGUCCAUCCCAGGAGGGUAUACACAUGAAGACAUUAAACAUAAAAGAAAUGGCCUGUGCUGAGCAACAGAGAAAGUUGUAUCAGAGAUAAAACCAAACAGUAAGCUUCCUGUGGCACAGUUUCAGUGGAAGAAGAGAAAGCACCACCUCGUUACUGCAAGGUGGAAACAGAAGUCCAAGAGAGAUUCUUUGUUACCACCUGGCAUGGAUGGGAAGCUAGAUGAAUUACCUCACAGGAUUGCUGGUCAAAGACACUCGGAGAGACUCCAGGCAUGUGACAAGUCUCUCAUCUGCAGACCCCAUUUUCAGCUCAUGAAUGAAUUCCUGAGAUUCACCAUCCAAUGGCAGGAAAUGAAUUGUGUAAGUUCAAAAGAAGAUCAGGUGAAGUGGCAGGAAAUUAGGUGUUUUUCAUGUUUUUUGUUUUUAUUAAUUUAAUAUAAUGUUAUUCAAGAAAACAUUCCCAAUAAAGCAAAACAAAUUAGCACUGUA